GCCAGCCGACGUGGGGAGGCGUAGCGCCGUGACGUGGCCGCUGCGGAUUGGCGGGGCGUGCUUGCCGGGGAACGGAGGAGCAGUGGAGCUGUGGAACCGCGCCGCGGCAGACAUGCAGCGUCUGUGUUGGGGAGUCUGUUGAAGCUGCGUGAAGUGUAAUCGACAUUGCAGAGAGCUUGGGUAGCACGGGGCCAGUGGCGCAAUGGAUAACGCGUCUGACUACGGAUCAGAAGAUUCUAGGUUCGACUCCUGGCUGGCUCGCUGCGCACUUUUUGCCAUGUCUGGGUCUGAUGUUCCAGGCACUUGUUGGGAAAGACUAACUAAGAUGCCUGUCUCCAAGACCUGAGAAGUCCCGAAACAUCUGCUACGGAGAGUGGACUCGAAUCCGGGGAGUGGCUGAGACAUCGAACGCCAUCCAUUAACGAGUCACUCAAUCGAUCAAUUAACCUCUCCAAUAUAACGUGUUUUCCUCCUAAGGAAAUUAUAGAAAAUUUGUAAAAUAAUUAUAUAGAAAACUAUUGGGAAUAAAAAUAAUGCGAAUUCUCAUGCCGAGAUCAUUACUAACAUGAUUUUUUUCCCCUUACAUACUUUCAUUUUCUUACUUUUUGAUAUGGAUCUACCUACACAUGUAUUUUUCCGAAUUGGGGGUUGUACCAGAAAUGUUUUUGUGUUCUCAUUUUGUCCCCUUAGCUUUUUGCCUGAGAUUUAAGGUCAUUAAAUAUUCUUUGACGGUAUCUCAUUAGAGAACUAGAUAUUUUAAGCAUUACUCUUUUUGUUGGCAAUUUGGGUUGUCAUUUAACACUUUAAAAAUAAUGCUGUGUUGAAUUAUUUCGGAUAUGUCUUACAAAUUUCUAGAUGUGGAAUGAUCAGGUGAACAUUUUAAAGAACCAUUUCAUGGACAUUUUAAAGACUUGGUACAUGUUUUCAAAUUGCCUUCCAAAAAAAUUAAAUACAUACUUCCAUCAAUAUCUGUUACUUACAUGCUAACCAACACUGAAUAUUAUAAAUUUUGUUAUGAUUUUUUUUGCAAUUUUCAUAAUUGAAAAACAACUUCCUUUUACUUAAUUACUUGAUGUAUAUAUUUUCUCUUGAUGUAUUCAGUGUUUUCUUAUAGAUUUGUUAGACUUUUUAAUACAUAAAGGAUAUGAAUUCUUUGACUAUCAAA